ACCUGCGGAAGGAUCAUUGUCGAAA
rnacentral:rRNA from 10 species